GAUGAACGCUGGCGGCGUGCUUAACACAUGCAAGUCGAACGGUGAAGCAGAGCUUGCUCUGUGGAUCAGUGGCGAACGGGUGAGUAACACGUGAGCAACCUGCCCCUGACUCUGGGAUAAGCGCUGGAAACGGCGUCUAAUACUGGAUAUGAGCUGCGACCGCAUGGUCAGCAGUUGGAAAGAUUUUUCGGUCUGGGAUGGGCGCACGGCCUAUCAGCUUGUUGGUGAGGUAAUGGCUCACCAAGGCGUCGACGGGUAGCCGGCCUGAGAGGGUGACCGGCCACACUGGGACUGAGACACGGCCCAGACUCCUACGGGAGGCAGCAGUGGGGAAUAUUGCACAAUGGGCGAAAGCCUGAUGCAGCAACGCCGCGUGAGGGAUGACGGCCUUCGGGUUGUAAACCUCUUUUAGCAGGGAAGAAGCGAAAGUGACGGUACCUGCAGAAAAAGCGCCGGCUAACUACGUG
rnacentral:rRNA from 1 species